UACAGAGGGUGCAAGCGUUAUCCGGAUUUAUUGGGCGUAAAGCGUUUCGUAGGCGGUUUGGUAAGUUAUUUUUCAAAGACCACGGCUUAACCGGGGGAAGGGAGGUAAUACUGCCAGACUUGAAAUAUGGUGGGGCUUCUGGAACUGAUGGUGUAGUAGUGAAAUACGUUGAUAUCAUCAGGAACUCCAAGGGCGUAGGCAGGAAGCUAACCAUUUUUUGACGCUGAUGAACGACAGCUAGGGGAGCGAAAGGG
rnacentral:rRNA from 1 species